rnacentral:misc_RNA from 1 species
CUGCGAGUUCGCGGGAGAGUAAGUUGUUGCCAGGGUUUUUAUUUUAUACUUUAAACAUUGAUUUUAUUUUUUAUGUUUUUAGAUGUUCAUGUUUUUGAAUGUUUUAUGCAAAUAAUAUAAAAAAUAAAAUAUAUUUUGACCUGGAUUAAACAAAGAUAUAUAUUAUUCUAUGUUGUAUAAACAAAUUGGCAAAAUAAAGAUGGAGGAUAAAAAUAUGGUCCAAGUAAUAAGAGUCUAUGGUGAAUGCCUAGGA